CCCAGCUCGCUGCCAGUCGCCGAAAGGAGGAGCGUGACCACCACAAGGAAUCAUCAUCAUCGUUGCCGAGCAGGGAGAGAGAAAGCGUCGCUGUUCUGCCUUCCAUCAAGCCAGUUCCACCGCUGCCGUCACGUCGUGCUGCCACAAGUAUGCGCUGUCGCAGCUGUCUCGUCGCGCCAUCAUCACGAGUCGCACGUCAUCGCUGUUAAAUCCACGUCGCGUCGCCGUGGCAGGAGCUUCUGCUGCCACGGGGAAGCUCGCGAAGGGAGAGGAGGAGCUCGUGAGAAAGGAGCUCGUCGCUACCGCUACAUUCACCGCCGUUAGCGCGCUCCGCCGUCGUUGUUGGGGACACGGUUGCUGAGCCUCUGGCUGCCGAAUAACAGCGUUGUCGGUGCCGAAGGUUGCCAGAGGUUGCUGUCAGAGAUGCAUGUCCAUUUUGUCGUUCUUCUUCUUGACUGGUUAAUUUACUGAGCUUGCAUACGGUGGAAGUUUUCGAAGCUGUUGUGGGACGGUAAAAAGGUGUUUUGCAUGUUUCAUAGCUUUCGUGUUUCGACAAUUGAGGUAGGGGUUUGUUUUUAAAAUUAAAUGUUUUAAUUUAAGAAUGCCUAAAAAAGCUUAUUGAAUAAUUGCAAAUAAUUCAUCAGAGUCUAGUAUUACUAAUUGAUGUGAAUUUGUUGAAUUGUAGUUGUGAAUGGUGUUUAAUUGGUGUUGUUUGUUAAACUAAUGAAUUGUGCUUGGAUUGAAGCUGUGAAUGUUGCUGGAAUUUCUAGUCUUGUUAAUUUCUUAAUUUGAUUGACGAUUUGAGAUUUGUUUGAUAAUAGUGAGUACUGUUGCAAUAAUUUGGAAUUGUUAAGAGAAUGAAGGAGCACGUAAGGGUGGUGAAUUCGAAUGUUAAGGGAGGUCCUAUCCGAAUUUUUAUAAAGAUAUACAAAAAGGUGAUUUUGAUUUGAAAAAUCUGACUUAUAAGCUUAUUUUGAAAAAUGUUUCUAUGUUGAGAAAAGGGCCAGUGUUUGGAGAAGUUAGUCAGCCUCCUCAGGGGCGUAGGAAAGUGAUUCUGAAGAAGAGGAAAUCAGACAUGGUGGACUUGUCUAAAGAAUCUAGUGAAAAGGAUAAGGGUGUUUCCUUAGAAGAAAUUCAAGCUUUUAUGGUAAACCAUAAAAAGAUUCAUGAAUUGUCUGAGCAGAGCGAGGGUUUGUCGGUGUUGGGGAAAUAGUAUCCUUAUAUGGCUGUGGCGGACGAGUUUUGUCAGUCCUCGGCCGAUGUAUCCUUGGCUAACGAGGUUGGUGAAAUUGUGAUUGGGCAAUAUAUGCAGGUGGUUGGUUUUCGGCUGGCCAGUUUAGGGCGUAGCCAAGAGUUGAAACAUAAGAAAGUAAUAGUUGAAAAAGAGGACUGUUUGUUGUUGAAAGAAGAAUUGGCUGAAAAUAAAGUUACUCUGGCCGUAUUACAGACUAAAUUGGCUGAUACUGAGAAACAGUUAAAAGAAACAAAGGAUAGUUAUGCUAAGGAUGUCGAGGAUUUAAAGAAAAAGAGGCUGAUUUGGGGAGCAUGGAAUCUCGGCUGAUUGAAGUUACUGCUCAACUGAAAGAAAUGGAGAAGAAAAAAGGGGAUGAAAUUUUGGACUCCUUUGUUGAGGGGUUUGAAAGAGCAUCUUUACAAGUUAAGUUCCUUGCCCCUGAAGUAGAUUUGUCUGAAAUGGAUCCUGGAAAGAUCGUCUGGGAUGGAAAGAUGGUUGAACAUGAUGGUGUUGCCGAAGAUGAGGCUGAGAAUGUUUAGUAUUUUAUGAAAAGCUAUAUGUUUUUUGUGCUAUUUUGUAAUGCUCUCUUUGUUAGAGCUUUUUGUAUUGUUAAGGUGUUUUUUGUUUCUACCGCUAGAAAGGGCGAUACAUUUUAAUAAUGGUGAUGGAAAGUUGUAGUUUUCUGGUAGAGUUGAUUGUUGACUCUUGUUUUAAAGAAUGUGUUUGGAUCUCUUUGUUUUUGAGGUA